AUUGAACGCUGGCGGCGUGCCUAACACAUGCAAGUCGAGCGGUAACAGGUGUAGCAAUACAUGCUGACGAGCGGGCGGACGGGUGAGUAACGCUUGGGAAUCUGCCUGUUAGUGGGGGACAACCCGGGGAAACUCGGGCUAAUACCGCAUACGCACUACGGUGGAAAGCCGGGGACCGCAAGGCCUGGCGCUAACAGAUGAGCCCAAGUCGGAUUAGCUAGUUGGUAGGAACGGCCUACCAAGGCGACGAUCCGUAACUGGUCUGAGAGGACGACCAGUCACACCGGAACUGAGACACGGUCCGGACUCCUACGGGAGGCAGCAGUGGGGAAUAUUGGACAAUGGGCAAAGCCUGAUCCAGCGACGCCGCGUGGGUGAAGAAGGCCU
rnacentral:rRNA from 1 species